UUUUCUCUUUAGUCAAAGGUAAAAUAUUUGAGUAAAUAAUGAUGUGUAAUUGAUGCUAUAUUCAAGGUAUAAGCACCAAUGCCGUGGGCUACAACAUGACUGUUGGUCCAUCCCUAUAGCCAAUGCCUACACCAAAUGCAACAAAGACUGAUCAUCACAGAAAUAAAACAUUCAGAAAUCUUAAUAUUAUUUAUUUGUUUCUAUGUUCUGUGAAUGACUUCUUUUCUUCUCAAUGACAUAGUGGAUGAUGCAUAAUUGGCCAACAUUCUAAUUCUUUAAUUCUAUUGUUUCCAUUAUGCAUUUGUGCAAUCACUGAGACAAGUGAUUGGACAAGUAGUAAGCCAAGCCUUAUUUGUUUGCCAAAAAAUGACUAGGCCUACAUAGUCUACAUUGAAAGAACAUUAGGCCUGUUACAGGCCGUUAUAACGUCUGGAUUCUGAACAUCUAUUCUGAAGAGGAUGGAUGUGGUGGGAAGCUCAGACCACGACAACAGUCUGAAGAGGAUGGAUGAGCCGGGAAGCUCAGACCCUGACAACAGUCUGAAGAGGAUGGAUGAGGAGGGAAGCUCCGACCACGACAACAGUCUGAAGAGGAUGGAUGAGGAGGGAAGCUCCGACCACGACAACAGUCUGAAGAGGAUGUAUGCAGCGGGAAGCUCAGACCCCGACAACAGUCUGAAGAGGAUGGAUGCAGCGGGAAGCUCCGACCACGACAACAGUCUGAAGAGGAUGGAUGCAGCGGGAAGCUCAGACCCCGACAACAGUCUGAAGAGGAUGGAUGCAGCGGGAAGCUCAGACCACGACAACAGUCUGAUGAGGAUGGAUGAGGUGGGAAGCUCAGACCCUGACAACAGUCUGAUGAGGAUGGAUGAGCCAGGAAGCUCCGACCCCGACAACAGUCUGAAGAGGAUGGAUGAGGAGGGAAGCUCCGACCCCGACAACAGUCUGAUGAGGAUGGAUGAGGAGGGAAGCUCCGACCCCGACAACAGUCUGAAGAGGAUGGAUGCAGCGGGAAGCUCAGACCACGACAACAGUCUGAAGAGGAUGGAUGCAGCGGGAAGCUCAGACCACGACAACAGUCUGAAGAGGAUGGAUGAGCCAGGAAGCUCCGACACCGACAACAGUCUGAAGAGGAUGGAUGAGGAGGGAAGCUCCGACCCCGACAAUAGUCUGAAGAGGAUGGAUGAGCCAGGAAGCUCUGACCCAGACAACAGUCUGAUGAGGAUGGAUGAGGAGGGAAGCUCCGACCCUAACAACAAUCUGAAGAGGAUGGAGGAGGAGGGAAGCUCAGACCCCAACAACAAUCUGAAGAGGAUGGAUGAGGUGGGAAGCUCAGACCCUGACAACAGUCUGAUGAGGAUGGAUGAGCCAGGAAGCUCCGACCCAGACAACAGUCUGAUGAGGAUGGAUGAGGAGGGAAGCUCCGACCCCGACAACAGUCUGAAGAGGAUGGAUGAGGAGGGAAGCUCCGACCCCGACAACAGUCUGAAGAGGAUGGAUGAGGAGGGAAGCUCCGACCCCGACAACAAUCAAGGUCAUUCUCUCAUAUCAGAAUGUGACCUUUUCAGAAAUCUAAAACUGUUGGACCAGGACCAGGAAUGGAUGUCAGAUGAAGACACGGUUCUGUUCAGCAGAACCUCAGGCUCCUCUUCCCAAGCCCUGUCAUCCAUUGUCAGUCUCUGCGACCCCAUGGCUCAGUACCUGAAUGAGGAAUUCAAAGCUUUCCUUGAGAGAAGAGGGACCUACAAGGAGCUAGAGAUGAUAGUUUCCAAUGUCCUGCUGAAACUUCUCCAGGCCAGAAAAGCAGAUGGGGCCCCACUGUUUAUCAGCCCUACACCUGAUAACUCUGCCCUCCAUGAUCAGAAGACAUCAACGUUAGACAAGGAGAUUAAUGUAUCUCCAUUGAAUGUAACUGCUGCUGGUCCUUUGGAGGUUGACGCCUCUCCAUCACCCACACCUAAAUAUGUUGUGAUCUCUUUGGUCGAAGGACUUGACCUGGACCCCUCGACCAAUCAGUGCACAGGAAACACGAAAGAGAUACCAGAGGAGCAGUCGUCAACCAUUCUGAGGAUGGAGCAACAGGACUGUCUGAAUAAGAUUGCCUUUGACACCCAUGCCGAUGCAAAGGCAGAAUACAUGAACUCUAAGCUUUUCAACAAAAAGAAGCUUGGCCAGACCCCUCAUCACAGGUACACAGGCCGUCUCCCUCCAGUGAGCAGCGGCUCCCGGGGUUCGGACUCUACCACUACGACUCUGAGGGGGAUCCUCCAGGCUGCCCUGUCCAGCCUCAACAGACAGACCAGGAGGGAGAUAUACCUCUCCCAGAAACUGGGAAGGAUCGUCAUCCCUUUCUCUGGGACACGAUAG
rnacentral:lncRNA from 8 species